GUGAGUCAUCGAAUCUUUGAACGCACAUUGCGCCCUUUGGUAUUCCGAAGGGCAUGCCUGUCCGAGCGUCAUUAUCACCCCUCAAGCCCCGUGCUUGGUGUUGGGAAUCGGGGGUUCUUUUCCCCCCUUCCCCAAAGACAAUGACGGCGGCCUGUGGUUCCCCCGGUACACUGAGCUUCCUCACGGACGGCACGUAUCGGACGAGGGCGCCCGGGUCCCGGCCUCAACCCCCCUUCUUUCUCAAGGUUGACCUCGGAUCAGGUAGGAAUACGCGCUGAACUUAAGCAUAUCAAUAAGCGG
rnacentral:misc_RNA from 1 species